rnacentral:rRNA from 1 species
GAUGAACGCUGGCGGCGUGCCUAAUACAUGCAAGUCGAGCGAACGGACGAGAAGCUUGCUUCUCUGAUGUUAGCGGCGGACGGGUGAGUAACACGUGGAUAACCUACCUAUAAGACUGGGAUAACUUCGGGAAACCGGAGCUAAUACCGGAUGAUAUUUUGAACCGCAUGGUUCAAAAGUGAAAGACGGUCUUGCUGUCACUUAUAGAUGGAUCCGCGCUGCAUUAGCUAGUUGGUAAUGUAACGGCUUACCAAGGCAACGAUGCAUAGCCGACCUGAGAGGGUGAUCGGCCACACUGGAACUGAGACACGGUCCAGACUCCUACGGGAGGCAGCAGUAGGGAAUCUUCCGCAAUGGGCGAAAGCCUGACGGAGCAACGCCGCGUGAGUGAUGAAGGUCUUCGGAUCGUAAAACUCUGUUAUUAGGGAAGAACAUAUGUGUAAGUAACUGUGCACAUCUUGACGGUACCUAAUCAGAAAGCCACGGCUAACUACGUG